ACGUGAUCUGAGUUCAGACCGGAGCAAUCCAGGUCAGUUUCUAUCUAUAAAGAGCUCUUUCUAGUACGAAAGGACCGAAAAAGCAUGGCCAAUACUUUAUGCAAGCCAUCAUUAAAAAUUUAUGAUUUAAACUUAAUAAAUAAUUCUCCUAUGACCUUCCCCAAGAAAAGAGA
rnacentral:rRNA from 1 species